CCUACGGGUGGCAGCAGUGAGGAAUAUUGGUCAAUGGGCGCGAGCCUGAACCAGCCAAGUAGCGUGAAGGAUGACUGCCCUACGGGUUGUAAACUUCUUUUAUACAGGGAUAAAGUCCUCCACGUGUGCCUUUUUGCAUGUACUUUAUGAAUAAGGACCGGCUAAAUCCGUGCCAGCAGCCGCGGUAAUACGGAAGAGCCGAGCGUUAUCCGGAUUUAUUGGGUUUAAAGGGAGCGUAGGCGGGUUGUUAAGUCAGUUGUGAAAGUUCGCGGCUCAACCGGAGAAGUGCAUUUGAUACUGGCAGUCUUGAGUACAGAUGAGGUAGGCGGAAUUCGUGGUGUAGCGGUGAAAUGCGGAGAUAUCACGAAGAACUCCGAUGGCGAAGGCAGCUUACU
rnacentral:rRNA from 1 species